rfam:Triticum aestivum genome assembly, contig: Triticum_aestivum_CS42_TGACv1_scaffold_251123_3DL
CGAGUACUCCCUCCGUCCCAAAAUUCUUGUCUUAGAUUUGUCUAAAUACGAAUAUAUCAAGUCACGUUUUAGUAUUAGAUACACCCGUAUCUAGACAAAUCUAAGACAAGAAUUUUGGGACGAAGGGAGUAUUUC